rnacentral:tRNA from 1 species
UCCCCGGUGGUCUAGUGGUUAAGACUCAGUGCUUUCACUGCUGCGGCCCAGGUUCAAUCCCUGGGCUGGGAA